rnacentral:rRNA from 1 species
GAUGAACGCUGGCGGCGUGCCUAAUACAUGCAAGUCGAGCGAACAGACGAGGAGCUUGCUCCUCUGACGUUAGCGGCGGACGGGUGAGUAACACGUGGAUAACCUACCUAUAAGACUGGGAUAACUUCGGGAAACCGGAGCUAAUACCGGAUAAUAUAUUGAACCCCAUGGUUCAAUAGUGAAAGACGGUUUUGCUGUCACUUAUAGAUGGAUCCGCGCCGCAUUAGCUAGUUGGUAAGGUAACGGCUUACCAAGGCGACGAUGCGUAGCCGACCUGAGAGGGUGAUCGGCCACACUGGAACGGAGACACGGUCCAGACUCCUACGGGAGGCAGCAGUAGGGAAUCUUCCGCAAUGGGCGAAAGCCUGACGGAGCAACGCCGCGUGAGUGAUGAAGGUCUUCGGAUCGUAAAACUCUGUUAUUAGGGAAGAACAAAUGUGUAAGUAACUAUGCACGUCUUGACGGUACCUAAUCAGAAAGCCACGGCUAACUACGUG